ACGGUGCUGCGAGAAAUUCCUCGCGGGUGGGGCAAGGUAGAAGCGGAGCGGGCGGAAAGUGAGAGCAACAUCCGGGCACCUGCGUCUGGAGCGCUUCUGCCCGCCAUGCCUCCUUUUCCCGUAGCCAUGCUGAAGUGUGGGAUGACGGGCGGUCAGGUGAAAGUGUUUGGGAAAGCAAUUCAAACUCUAUCACGAGUGAGCGAUGAACUGUGGCUAGACCCGUCUGAAAAAGGUGUAACUUGCUCUGAGAUCUGUGAAUUCUUGUCAUUCCACAUAUGGCUACGUCCUGUUCUCGUCUGUGUUUUUUCAACAUUAUCAAUGGUCCCCCUCAGCCACGAUAACAGACAGUGACAUACCACUGAAUUUAAAUUGCAAACUGGCAAUAAAG
rnacentral:lncRNA from 1 species